GUGCCAGCAGCCGCGGUAAUACGAAGGGGGCUAGCGUUGUUCGGAAUUACUGGGCGUAAAGCGCUCGUAGGCGGCCUUGUAAGUUGGGCCUGAAAUCCCGGGGCUCAACCCCGGAACUGCCUCCAAAACUACAAAGCUAGAGGAUGCGAGAGGAUAGUGGAUUUCCGAGUGUAGAGGUGAAAUUCGUAGAUAUUCGGAAGAACAGCAGUGGCGAAGGCGACUGUCUGGCGCAUAUCUGACGCUGAGGUGCGAAAGCGUCGGGAGCAAACAGGAUUAGAAACCCUUGUAGUC
rnacentral:rRNA from 1 species